AAGUCGUAACAAGGUUUCCGUAGGUGAACCUGCGGAAGGAUCAUUACCAAUUUUAGCGAGCCUGGUCUUGUUGACCAUGGUUUCGUGAAAAUCGUAUUUAAAACCCCACUCUUAUAAAAUUUUGAAUCAUUAUAUUUUGUAUAAUAAAAUAAAGAUCACUUUCAACAACGGAUCUCUUGGCUCUC
rnacentral:misc_RNA from 1 species